CUAGAGAUGGUAUUACAGGGUAAAGUUUUUUUAAAUUUAAUAAUUGAAGUUAUUUUAAUUUGUGAAGAAACAAUUAUAUAAAUUAAAGACAAGAAGACCCUAAGAAUUUAAGAAUUUUUAUUAAUAUAUUAUAUGUAUAUAUAUAAAUAAAAUUCUUAGUUGGGGCAACUAAAAAAUAUAUUAAACUUUUUUUUUAAAAAAAUGACCCAUUAUUAAUGAUAAUAUGAAAAAAAUACUCUAGGG
rnacentral:rRNA from 1 species